rnacentral:rRNA from 1 species
UACGUAGGUGGCAAGCGUUGUCCGGAAUUAUUGGGCGUAAAGCGCGCGCAGGUGGUUCUUUAAGUCUGAUGUGAAAGCCCACGGCUCAACCGUGGAGGGUCAUUGGAAACUGGGGAACUUGAGUGCAGAAGAGGAAAGUGGAAUUCCAAGUGUAGCGGUGAAAUGCGUAGAGAUUUGGAGGAACACCAGUGGCGAAGGCGACUUUCUGGUCUGUAACUGACACUGAGGCGCGAAAGCGUGGGGAGCAAACAGGA